rnacentral:rRNA from 1 species
CAGUAGCCGCGGGAAUACGUAGGUGGCAAGCGUUAUCCGGAAUUAUUGGGCGUAAAGCGCGCGUAGGCGGUUUCUUAAGUCUGAUGUGAAAGCCCACGGCUCAACCGUGGAGGGUCAUUGGAAACUGGGAAACUUGAGUGCAGAAGAGGAAAGUGGAAUUCCAUGUGUAGCGGUGAAAUGCGCAGAGAUAUGGAGGAACACCAGUGGCGAAGGCGACUUUCUGGUCUGUAACUGACGCUGAUGUGCGAAAGCGUGGGGAUCAAACAGGAUUAGAGACCCCCGUAGUCCCUGUCUCUUAUAC